CAAAAGAUAGUUUAAUUAAAAUGCUAGCUUUGGGUGCUAGAGAUGGGGACAGAGGGUCUCUUCUUUUGA
rnacentral:tRNA from 1 species